GAUGAAGAACGUAGCGAAAUGCGAUACGUAAUGUGAAUUGCAGAUUUCAGUGAAUCAUCGAAUCUUUGAACGCACAUUGCGCCCGCUAGUAUUCUGGCGGGCAUGCCUGUUCGAGCGUCAUUUCAACCAUCAAGCCCUAGGCUUGCGUUGGAGCCCUGCGGCUGCCGCAGGCUCCCAAAUCCAGUGGCGGGCUCGUCGUCGUACCGAGUGCAGUAAACAUCCUCGCUCAGGGAACGUGACGGGUUCUUGCCGUGAAACCCCCCACAUAUCAAGGUUGACCUCGGAUCAGGUAGGGAUACCCGCUGAACUUAAGCAUAUCAAUAAGCGGAGGA
rnacentral:misc_RNA from 1 species